UACGAAGGGGGCGAGCGUUGUUCGGAUUUACUGGGCGUAAGGGGCGCGCAGGCGGCUUUGUUUGUCAGGCGUGAAAGCCCCGGGCUUAACCUGGGAACUGCGUUUGAUACGGCAGGGCUAGAGUUCGGGAGAGGAGAGUGGAAUUCCCAGUGUAGAGGUGAAAUUCGUAGAUAUUGGGAAGAACACCGGUGGCGAAGGCGGCUCUCUGGACCGAUACUGACGCUGAGGCGCGAAAGCGUGGGGGGCAAACAGG
rnacentral:rRNA from 1 species